UACGGAGGGUGCAAGCGUUAUCCGGAUUCACUGGGUUUAAAGGGUGCGUAGGUGGGUUGGUAAGUCAGUGGUGAAAGACAACAGCUCAACUGUUGCAGUGCCAUUGAUACUGAAGAGCUUGAGUACAGAUGAGGUAGGCGGAAUUUAUGGUGUAGCGGUGAAAUGCAUAGAUACCAUAAAGAACACCUAUUGCGAAGGCAGCUUACUAAGCUGUAACUGACGCUGAGGCACGAAAGUGUGGGGAUCAAACAGG
rnacentral:rRNA from 1 species